GACCCAAUGGCACAGUGGUUAGUGCACUUGCUUUACAUGUCCAAUUGCCAUACUUGUUGAAGCGAGAGGCCCGUGUUCGAUUCACGGUUGGGUCA